rnacentral:lncRNA from 1 species
AUCAAAGAGGUUUUGGACCGAAUCACAUAUAUUCCUUCAAGCACGAGAGCAAAACAUGUUAUAUGGUCUUAUCCCAAACGCUACUCGAACCGGCGACCUCUAAACUUUUGCCAUAGAUUUUUACCAAUUGAACUAUUAGCAUUUGGUGAAAAUUAAAUUAUUAAAUCAGUAAAAAUUUUAAAACAGUGAAAUCGAGGAAAAUAUAUUUACAAGUAAUCAAACUAUUUAGUAGUACUGGUAAUAUUUUAUUGUAUGAGAUAUUGAAAUUAUAAUAAGUAUGGAUUAAUUCAAUUAGCUAUCGAUUAGAUUGUAAUAAUUAUAAUAAGACUUUGGAUGAAAACAUAAUUGACCGAUUAAAAUAGAAGUGGGAAAAGGAGCUGGAGCAUCAGAGGCGAACAGCUUGGAGACGGUCUCACGCUCAUGUUUCAUGAUCCUUUUUUUUGUGGCCAAAUUGGACCACAUACAUAUACAUAUAUACUUUUUUUUUUUUAAUAAUUAAAUUGUUUCAACGAAUGAUAUAAAUUUCAAAGAAUGUAAAAUAUGAUAAGAGGUUAAACAACUUCACGUUUUCACUAGGAAUGGUUCCUAAUGUUUUCACUAGGAAUGGCGAGUGGAGGUGGUUUCUUUGAUCGCCCGUAGAUGGUCCUGUAACCGAC